UCAGGUGAUGAUGCGUCUUUGGGAAACACCCGUUCUCAUCCCGAACACGAUGGUUAAGACUUAGACGGCCGAUGGUACUAUGCUGGAGACGGCAUGGGAGAGUAUGUGGUUGCCUGAU
rnacentral:rRNA from 1 species